UCUAAGCGGGAAGCCUCAUCCAAGAUAAAUCUACCCACAGGGUUAACCUGGUAAGGCCCGUGGCAGAACACCACGUUGAUAGGCCGGAAGUGUAAGCGUAGUAAUACGUUCAGCUGACCGGUACUAAUCGGCCGAGGGCUUGGGUCU
rnacentral:rRNA from 1 species